rnacentral:rRNA from 1 species
ACGAACGCUGGCGGCGUGCCUAAUACAUGCAAGUCGAACGCUUCUUUUUCCACCGGAGCUUGCUCCACCGGAAAAAGAGGAGUGGCGAACGGGUGAGUAACACGUGGGUAACCUGCCCAUCAGAAGGGAAUAACACUUGGAAACAGGUGCUAAUACCGUAUAACAAUUGAAACCGCAUGGUUUUGAUUUGAAAGGCGCUUUCGGGUGUCGCUGAUGGAUGGACCCGCGGUGCAUUAGCUAGUUGGUGAGGUAACGGCUCACCAAGGCGACGAUGCAUAGCCGACCUGAGAGGGUGAUCGGCCACAUUGGGACUGAGACACGGCCCAAACUCCUACGGGAGGCAGCAGUAGGGAAUCUUCGGCAAUGGACGAAAGUCUGACCGAGCAACGCCGCGUGAGUGAAGAAGGUUUUCGGAUCGUAAAACUCUGUUGUUAGAGAAGAACAAGGAUGAGAGUAACUGUUCAUCCCUUGACGGUAUCUAACCAGAAAGCCACGGCUAACUACGUGCCAGCAGCCGCGGUAAUACGUAGGUGGCAAGCGUUGUCCGGAUUUAUUGGGCGUAAAGCGAGCGCAGGCGGUUUCUUAAGUCUGAUGUGAAAGCCCCCGGCUCAACCGGGGAGGGUCAUUGGAAACUGGGAGACUUGAGUGCAGAAGAGGAGAGUGGAAUUCCAUGUGUAGCGGUGAAAUGCGUAGAUAUAUGGAGGAACACCAGUGGCGAAGGCGGCUCUCUGGUCUGUAACUGACGCUGAGGCUCGAAAGCGUGGGGAGCAAACAGGAUUAGAUACCCUGGUAGUCCACGCCGUAAACGAUGAGUGCUAAGUGUUGGAGGGUUUCCGCCCUUCAGUGCUGCAGCUAACGCAUUAAGCACUCCGCCUGGGGAGUACGACCGCAAGGUUGAAACUCAAAGGAAUUGACGGGGGCCCGCACAAGCGGUGGAGCAUGUGGUUUAAUUCGAAGCAACGCGAAGAACCUUACCAGGUCUUGACAUCCUUUGACCACUCUAGAGAUAGAGCUUCCCCUUCGGGGGCAAAGUGACAGGUGGUGCAUGGUUGUCGUCAGCUCGUGUCGUGAGAUGUUGGGUUAAGUCCCGCAACGAGCGCAACCCUUAUUGUUAGUUGCCAUCAUUUAGUUGGGCACUCUAGCGAGACUGCCGGUGACAAACCGGAGGAAGGUGGGGAUGACGUCAAAUCAUCAUGCCCCUUAUGACCUGGGCUACACACGUGCUACAAUGGGAAGUACAACGAGUCGCAAAGUCGCGAGGCUAAGCUAAUCUCUUAAAGCUUCUCUCAGUUCGGAUUGUAGGCUGCAACUCGCCUACAUGAAGCCGGAAUCGCUAGUAAUCGCGGAUCAGCACGCCGCGGUGAAUACGUUCCCGGGCCUUGUACACACCGCCCGUCACACCACGAGAGUUUGUAACACCCGAAGUCGGUGAGGUAACCUUUUGGAGCCAGCCGCCUAAGGUGGGAUAGAUGAUUGGGGUG